GGGGUGGAGCAGUCUGGUAGCUCGUCGGGCUCAUAACCCGAAGGUCGUUGGUUCAAAUCCGGCCCCCGCAACCAAUA
rnacentral:tRNA from 1 species